rnacentral:rRNA from 1 species
GACGAACGCUGGCGGCGUGCUUAACACAUGCAAGUCGAACGGAAAGGCCCUGCUUUUGUGGGGUGCUCGAGUGGCGAACGGGUGAGUAACACGUGAGUAACCUGCCCUUGACUUUGGGAUAACUUCAGGAAACUGGGGCUAAUACCGGAUAGGAGACCCUGCUGCAUGGAGGGGGUUGGAAAGUUGCUGCGGUUGGGGAUGGACUCGCGGCUUAUCAGCUUGUUGGUGGGGUAGUGGCUUACCAAGGCUUUGACGGGUAGCCGGCCUGGGAGGGUGAACGGCGACCUGGGUCCUGAGGUACGGAGCAGACGCCUACAGGAGGCAGCAGUGGGGAGUAUGGCACAGCGAGCGGGAGCCGGAUACGGCAACGCCGCGUGCGGAAUGACGGCCUUCGGGGUGUGAACCGCUUUAGCCUGUGACGAAGCGUGAGUGACGGUAAUGGAUAAAGAAGCACCGGCUAACUACGUG